CCUACGGGUGGCAGCAGUGGGGAAUAUUGCACAAUGGGGGAAACCCUGAUGCAGCGACGCCGCGUGAGUGAAGAAGUAUUUCGGUACGUAAAGCUCUAUCAGCAGGGAAGAAAAUGACGGUACCUGACUAAGAAGCCCCGGCUAACUACGUGCCAGCAGCCGCGGUAAUACGUAGGGGGCAAGCGUUAUCCGGAUUUACUGGGUGUAAAGGGAGCGUAGACGGCAGCGCAAGUCUGGAGUGAAAUCCCAUGGCUUAACCAUGGAACUGCUUUGGAAACUGUGCAGCUAGAGUGCAGGAGAGGUAAGCGGAAUUCCUAGUGUAGCGGUGAAAUGCGUAGAUAUUAGGAGGAACACCAGCGGCGAAGGCGGCUUACUGGACCGUGACUGACGUUGAGGCUCGAAAGCGUGGGGAGCAAACAGGAUUAGAUACCCUUGUAGUC
rnacentral:rRNA from 1 species